UACGGAGGGUGCGAGCGUUGUCCGGAAUCAUUGGGCGUAAAGGGCGCGUAGGUGGCCCGGUCAGUUCGUGGUGAAAGCGCGGGGCUCAACCCUGCGUCGGCCAUGAAUACUGCCGCGGCUGGAGCACUGUAGAGGCAGGCGGAAUUCCGGGUGUAGCGGUGGAAUGCGUAGAGAUCCGGAAGAACACCGGUGGCGAAGGCGGCCUGCUGGGGCCAGUUGCUGACACUGAGGCGCGACAGCGUGGGGAGCAA
rnacentral:rRNA from 1 species